AGCAGUAGCCGCGGGAAUACAGAGGGUGCGAGCGUUAAUCGGAUUUACUGGGCGUAAAGCGUGCGUAGGCGGCUUCUUAAGUCGGAUGUGAAAUCCCUGAGCUUAACUUAGGAAUUGCAUUCGAUACUGGGAAGCUAGAGUAUGGGAGAGGAUGGUAGAAUUUCAGGUGUAGCGGUGAAAUGCGUAGAGAUCUGGAGGAAUACCGAUGGCGAAGGCAGCCAUCUGGCCUAACACUGACGCUGAGGUACGAAAGCAUGGGGAGCAAACAGGAUUAGAUACCCCAGUAGUCCCUGUCUCUUAUAA
rnacentral:rRNA from 1 species